rnacentral:rRNA from 1 species
GACGAACGCUGGCGGCGUGCUUAACACAUGCAAGUCGAACGAAGUGGCGAACGGGUGAGUAAUACGUGGGUAACCUGCCCUCCUUUUUGGGAUAAGCCUUGGAAACGGGGUCUAAUCCCGAAUAAAGGGGGAUGGGCUCGCGGCCUAUAAGCUUGUUGGUGGGGUGAUGGCCUACCAAGGCGGUGACGGGUAGCCGGCCUGGGAGGGUGACCGGCCACAGUGGGACUGGGAAAAGGCCCAGAAUCCUAAGGGAGGCAGCAGUGGGCGAUAUUGGACAAUGGGCGAAGGACUGAUGCAGCGACUCCGCGUGGGGGAUGAAGGCUUGCGGGUUGUAAACAUCUUUCGCUAUAGGACGGGUAGGUGGAGAAGAGGCGCCGGCUAACUACGUGCCAGCAGCCGCGGUAAUUC